UUCUGUGAUCCAAUCUGUCACAGUAACAUUGUUUGACUUUUGUUUUUGUUUUUUACCAUUAAAUUUCCUAGCUUUUUGAACAGGGAAAGAUAUGUUGCUGGUGGGAGUUAGUAGAAAUUUAGACAGUUGUACGUGUCAUGUCCUGUAACUUGCACACUGAACCAAUUAGCCUUCCCCUCCCAUCAGCUGGGUCCCACCAGCCCUGGUUUGGCCCCACCUCAGAAGCCAAGUCCCUGAGCUAUUCACUGUGUUCCCCUCUUCAACCUGGCUCCCUCCCCCAGUACUGUACCCAGGGCCCUCCACUGUAAUCAUCUCCUUGAUGUCCUCACUCCCUGGUAUACAAAUAUUUCUAUUGCUGUUACUUCCCCCCCUCCCAUAACUCAACUCACAAGCAGUUCCUGGAGCGAAGAGCAGCUAUGUUACAGUGGAGUGGUGUUCCUGGUCAUGUAUCACAAUGGUUGGCAGGAGUAGUUUGUCACAUAGCCAGCGAGAGAAAUCACAAACAGGGUUUCUGUUCCAAAGUACAGUUUUAUGCUUGAGAGAGAGAUCCUUUGACCCCUGUCCAAUAGCUGCACCCCAACUCAGAGAAACAGUGAGGUGUUUUGAACCAAACUACCAUAACCCUUUGAAACUUUGUAGGUGAGCCAAAGUCCCACUAUGUUUUGUGUUCGUAAUUCUUUGUCUUAAAGAUCAUCUUAGGUUCAACCUAAACUGACCCUAGUGCUUUGUGUUAAACUAAUACAGGUUGAACCUUUCUAGUUCGGUACCCUCAGGACCUGACCAGUGCCAAACCACAGAAUUUGCCAAACCACAGGAGGUUAAUAUUAUAGCGAGGGGGUCUCUUUAAAUUUUUAUCUCACCGAGGCAAAUAAACGGAACAAAAUUUGCAAUGCCACCUAGCCAAGGCUUACCGACUCUCUUCAUAGCAAAGUGUUAGUGUUGUUGCACAAUGUUACUGUAUUGGCACAAGAAAAUAAGUAUAUAAAGCGUAAAAAACAUAAAAUAAUAUGAAAAAGAAAUAGAUGAUAGUACACGUAAAUCUAUAAUUUACUCACCUAAAAUGAUGCCUGAAUUCCACUUCCAAAGUGAUGUGACAAGAACUGCUAACUCAAAUUACAUGCGAGUUACAUCUGGGGUCUCUGCUAUAGGUAUACCCAGGGUAGAUGAAGUGGAGACAACAUGAUUUUCGACUGUAGAAUGCUGCUUACCACUCCUCUUCACUACCUUUAACCAAUCUUCCAGCUUGGCUUGUCUCAUGUAUUUUGGUUUUUCUUUAAUGAGUUUUUCUCUUAUCAUGUAGAGAGACAUGAUUUCUUGCUCAGAAAUGAAAUGUCUUUGCUCCAGUCCUUCUAUUACAUUUGUUGCCAACUGAAUGCAUUUAUCGAUAGAAAUUUUUUCUUCGACAUCCUCAUCACCAUCACUGUCUUCUUUGUUAUCUUUGUUUUUUCCCUGCUGUACCAUUUGCACAAUUUCUUCAACCGUCAUUUGACUAGCAAUUGGUGCAUCUUUGUUAGCUUCCACCCAGUCUAGUAAAUUUUCCUCUGCCAAAUCCUUGGUAGCUCAAGCACUACAGUGUGGGACAUACCACUGGCAUACUCCAUUAACUCACUAACAGUUUUUUGGUUUUCAGACACUUGAAAUCCAGUGACCUCAGACUCGUCAUUGACAUCAGGACUGUCCUAAAAUAUUAGGGCUGGCCACAAUUUGUGCCAUCCAUUCUUCAGAGUAGAUGGAGUUACUCUUUCCCAGUCUCUAGCUAGUGUCCAAAUCACAUCCUUGAGGUUAAAUUCUUUCCUAAAUGUUCUCAAACUCUUCCCAUCAUUAAGCAGUACUAGCAAUUGGUGCAUAAACUUGGACCUGUACAUACCCUUCAGGGAUCACAAGGCUGAAUCAGCGAGGUACCGUUUGGGGGUAAAUACAGUCCCACCACAUUAUCUUUGAGCAAUGGGCUCUUGCCUCCGGUACAAAAUAUUUCUCAAACCACUUGAGACAUAGAUUAAUCGUUAUCCAUCCCUUUUUCUUGCCACAGUAUAUUACUGGGAAUAUUUUCACCUCUUUGAAUGCCCUUGGGUUUACACAUUUUCCAGUAACCAUGAGCUUGCAUUUGUGCAUGCCUGCUGUGUUGCUACAACCAAGGACAGUUACCCUGUCCUUCAACUACUUCGUAACCAGAUGGUGGCCCCUCUGCAUCAGAAGCCAACUUUUUUUUAGGCAUACAACACCAGUAGAGAGCAGUUUCAUCGGCAUUCUAUACCUGCUCUGGGAAUAACGUCUCAUUUGCAAGUAACUGCAAAUUUGUCAAUGUACUUAGCAGCAGCUUCCAUAUCUGCACUUCUUUUUUCACUGCACACACCAUGUAGAUGAAUGCCAUGCCUGUUUUUAAAUUUCUGAAUCCAUCCUUGCAAAUAGUCACACUCAUGCUGCAGGUUAAGUUCUUUGUGGAAUAUUUUUGUUUGUGCCACCAUCAUUUCACCUGAAAUUCUAACACCUUCGUUCCUACAAAGCUUGAACCAAUGUAUAAGCGUACUAUCUAAAUCACUGCUUUUCCCCUCCUUCAAUGUCUUAUGAACACUCAUACUUCUUUUUACUGUCAUGUUCGGCAAAAAACUUAAGGAUUUGAUUCUUUUGCUUCUUCAAAUCAUACACUGUAAAUGACCCUACAUUGUAAAACUCUCACAAGGCACGUACCGAUGUGCCCUUUUCCAAUUUCUGCAGCACUUCCACCUUUUGCUGUGUGGAUAUUGACACAUGCUUACGCUUAGCAGCAUUACCAACACUUCCACUGCUUGCUGGACAUAUUUAGGGGUAAAUUAGAGCUAAAUAACAGCACAGAACACUGAGAGCCAGGACUGGCGGGACUUCGCUGGACCAUGGGAAUCUUGGCCCCACCCAUGAUAAGCGCACAUUCGGCUAACUAAAACCAUGCUGGACCACGGAUGUUGCCGGACUAGAGAAGUUCAACCUGUAAUCAGGAAAAGGUCUGUAACCAAUCAGUAGGAUUGUACUUAAUCAUCCACUUUGAUUUUACUCUGACUUAGCUGACUUAGUCCCAAUACCCCAAAAGGGACCACUUGUAAUUGAUAUGGGGAAAAUGUUUUCUGUGAUUAAUAAAACAAUAAUCUAUCAGAAGAUGCUUUUAGAUUAUCAAUCAUAGAAACCAGAUACCAAUCUGCCUGAAGCGUCAGGUGAUCAGGCUGAGGCCGCAGGAUCAAUAGGGGAGGAGAUGAAGGAGCACACCAAGUAACUAAGUUUUAAAGCUUUAUUAAUAAAAUAACAGUGGUGAGCGCUGGGGGCUCCCCACAUCAUUCAAGGGAAGAAAGAAAGCAUUAGUGCCCAUGCCCUAACCACUUUCAUACUCUCACAUGCACAACCCAAGGCUGGCCAAGCCUGGGUGUAAUGUCAGAAGAAAAUGGGGAAGGGUGGACGAGAGUUCUGUCCUGUACACAGGCCGUCCAGGGUCCGCUGUUGAUCUCAAAUUUGCUUCAGCUCUCAGGAGGGUUUUAAGUCCUGGGGUCUUUUGGGGGUGUUUUGUUCAGGGACCUCUGUCCCCCGUGCUCAUUGUACCUGUCCAAACCGGCUUUCCGUGGCUUCCUCAGCUUUUCCAAAACACACCAGCUUCAGGGACACACUUCUGUUAUUUUCCCACUCACUGACCUUCGCUGUCUCACUGGCUUUUGCAGCCCCUGCAGUUCUAUUCAGCUGAAUCCUCCUCUCUCACGGCUGGACUGGGUUGGAAUCCAGGCUCCUGUCUUUCUUGGCAGGCAGCCGAGAGUUGGUUGUGUGCUGUGGCCUUGGGCUGGAGUCAGCAUCUUAUCUUCGAACCUACCUGGAGUGUCGAAUUAACCUGUUCCUUUCUCCCUUCCUCCCCCUUCGGCCUCUCACAACCUGCAAAGAAAUCUUUCACUCCACACUCACACCUUCAACCCCUCCCAAGAUCCUUUCCAAUGCAUAUAAAAGCAUUAGCAAUAUACAAUGCUGAUGCUUACCCAGGGGACCCACUGGGUAAUUUUACCGUGACAAUAGGCCCUGGGAAUUGGUGGGCGUGGAUGUAAUAGGGCCAUUACCAACAACAAACAAGGGAUACCAGUACAUCUUGGCAGUCAUGGAUUAUCUUACAAAAUGGGUGGCAUAAGUCAGCACAUGAAGUGGCAAAGAAAAUCGGUAAAAUUAUAAAUUGAUUUGGAUAUCUAUAGUGGAUACUGACAUAUCUUGGUUCUGGAUUCACUAAUGAGGUAAUGAUUUAUUUUUGAGAUUUUUUUCACUAUUUCUUCAACCACACUAUUGGAUCAUGGAUAUUUGACACUGACUAUGGGCUUCAUUGUCUUCAUUAUUAUAAUUUUUUUUACUGUAAAUUGUUCCUGACACGUUUUUCUGUCUAUUUAUUCACCAAUUUUUUUUAUAACAAACUGAUUGCAAACUUACUUUUCCAUGUAGUCAUUCUAAAAGAUAGAAUAGGAAACCACAGUAAUUACAUGUAAAAUCAGUUGAAAAUAGGAGAAGGAACAUACAUGCAGACAUUUCCAAAGGAAACUUUAUGGCAUUUUUUUUCUUUCACUUUAACCUGGCCCUUUGUGGGGAAAAAUGGGGGUAUAACAUAGCUUCAUCAGCUCAUACCUCCCACAAACCAAUGGACUGGAUGAAAACACCAACAAAUCCAUCAAAUUUUAGAGGGGAAAAUUUAAAUACUAAACAAAAGUAGCGUGCACCAGACCAUAAGCUACAUAUUGGUAAUACCUCUUCAGGGUCAAUUUAUUACAUUGCAAGUCUUUUUAUUGUAUUACAUGUGAAAUGAAAAAUAAUCGAAGCCAGCACUGUGGUGUUCUCCUCCUUAGACCUUCUUGAUUCCAUAUAAUCUAUCUCAAUCAAGACAUCAUGUUUACUAUUUGUUUUCACAAACUAAUCAAUCACCAUUUCUUACAGAGCACUGCAGAAGUUGGUUGAUACCACUGGGAGUAAUUGGGAUAAAUUUUUUGAUAACCUUUUAUUUUCUUUGAAAUCUAAACAGCAGAUGAGAACAAAAAUGUCACGCUUUCAACUGUAGUAUGGCUUUGAAGCAACAUUCCAUACAAGGGCUCAGAGAAUUAUACAAUGGUUCAUCUACUGCAAAGCUGGAAAAUCCACAAUGGGACUCUGGAAAAUAAAAAUUGUGGAACACAGGAGACAAGCAGUUGGACACAACAGUGGGCCACCUCAUUCUAAAAUUAUUCAGUGUCAAAUUUUGAUUAUUUCUUAAUGAUGUGUAAUUAUGAUGUGUUUUCUAAUUAAAAGUAUUAGUUUGCAGAAACAUAUUUAGAGCAUAAAGACAUCAGUACUAUGGAAACCACACAAGAGACUCUAACUAUGUAUAGAAGAAAAAUCACCAUUCUUUUAAUUAAAGAGUCAGGUAAUAACUUUGUUACCAGUACCUAGUACCUAGUGAGACCAGAGUAUAUGGGAAGAUAACAGGAAGAGUGGAAUAAUGUCAUAUCACAAAGUUAUCAGUAGGUUAUGUCACAGGUUUGAUUCUCUAAGGGUCUCUCUGCAUGAAUAAUGUCUUUGAUUAGUGAAAAAUGGGGAGUGCAUAGAUGGUUGACAUUGAAAGAGCAAUGAAAUCUAAUUGGAUAUAGUUAUAUCCACCAGCAGUCAACUAAAAGUUUGAGAUAAAUAGACAAGGGUACCAAAUAUAAUUUAAAAUAUGACCCCCAAAAAAGAAAAAUAUUUGCAAAUCAGUAACUUAAUACUUGAUAUAAUUGACAUUCAUGAAUAAAUCAAGAUUUCUAUUUAGAGUUUUGGUCAUAAGGUAAUCAUCAUUUGAUUACAUUAUAUUGAUUUUACAGAGAGCAUGAAGGAGUACUGCACCUUGUCAUAUGCAAAAAUGAAAAUUGCAUAGUUAACACCAUGUUCGAACAGAUAAGUAAACAGAAUACUGUAUGAUUGUUUAUAGCACAUGAACAAAAGUCAUGGCCCAAGACCCAGCCAGGUCUAACCUGAUGGAAUAACUUUGCUAAGGACCAGGAUUGUUGUAAUAAUUCCACAUUAGUAAAUAUUUCCAGUGUUGCUGACUAACUUUGACUAAUGAUUAUAUGUUCAAGGAAUAUUAUUUUAUAAUUGUAUGAAUUAAUUGAAAUUAUAUUUAGCAUAAUUA